rnacentral:lncRNA from 1 species
GCCUCGCGCUUCAGGAAGUGGUCCCAGUCUCUAACAGGUCCCUUCCCAGCCUCCAGAGCAAGCCAAUCAGGGACACGCUCUCGUGGCCCAGUUCGGAAACAAUGCUUGGUGGGAACCUGCAAUCUUGGCUGCCGGAACCUUCGGGGAGGAUUAACGCCGGCGCACCGUGCGGCCGGGGCGGGGCGCCGCCCAAACUCAGGCCCUGUGACAGCGACUGUGGCGGUCUGGAAAGCGUGGGCCUCGGUCAUUGGGCACGAGCGGUCACGUGACAGCGGGUUCCUCCAGGCCAGCGCUGGUGGUUGAGUGAUGUAAUCACGUGGGGUCUGAAGUCUUCGUGGGUGUAGGUUUCUUCGUUAUGCUGACGACAGGCAGUGCCCGAACUCUAGGCUGGGAGUUGUGCCAUGCUGCUGCUUUCGUGGGCUGACCAGAAAAGGGUAGAAGGAUUGACGUUUACGAAGUUUUUGAAUCAGGAGGCAAGGUCGCCUUGUGCCCCCAAAAGGAUAGAAAAAGGCCUGGCAAACUGGAGAAUCGCGUCCUUACGGUGCCUACAUAUUUAUAGUACGAAUUAAACUGCUCAAGGGGUGCUAGGUUUGUCUGCAGUCCGUUUCUCCCUCAUGGUGGAAGACGCGUGGGGAAACUUGGUAUCCUGUGUUUUCCAGUUGAAAGCUUGUGAAAAUUCGCUUUAUCCUUGAAGUUCAGAAUUUUCACCAGGAUGUAUGAAGUAAUAUUCCAUUGUAUGGAUAUGCCAGAGUGUAUUUAUCUACUGACCAGUUGAAGAACAUUUGGAUUGUUUCCCAUUUUUUGUAUGAGUAAUGUCACUAUAAACAUUUGCAUACAGGUUUUUGUGUAAACAUAUCUUUUCAUCUCUCUUGGGCAAAUACCUAGGAAUAGGAUUGUUAGGUCUUAUUGAUACCAGUGGGUUAGGGAGGUCCCCAAAUGCUGGUGGGGCCUCAACCCCAACCAGUGUCCAGGCUCUUGACACCUUCCCAAGAAGCAAUUCAAGGAUUAGUUGGAAGAUAAUGAAAGUGAAACCGUCAGUGCAAGAUUAUAACUGAGACAGAGAAAGAGAUCUAACCUGACCAACUCCAUCUUGCCUCUGACCAUCAAGCUGUCCUAGUUCAUUCCUGGGCAUGGGACAAACUAGCUUUAGGAAGAACUUAGUUUAUAGUUUAUAGUUUGAGGCACAGAUGAUAACAGCCUUUUCCCAAAACAAAUCCCCUUCUUGCCUGGGGACUAGACUGCCUUUGUAGGACUAACAUAUUAGUCAAAAGAUUAUAAAUUAUGGUUUAGGAGUCAUGCAGCUGGAGGCUACAAGAUUCUGACACUCCCUAAAUCGCUCCUGGGGAUAAAAAUCACUAUUAUAGGCUGGUGUGAUGGCUUAUGCCUGUAAUCUCAGCACUUUCGGAGGCCGAGGUGGG